ensembl:lncRNA
CAGCCACAGAAUAAAGUAAUACAUGUCAAAAUAAUAAAGUGACUGAACAGCUUCUAACAUAAUGUAAACAAAGGAUGUAAACAAAACUUUGGAUUACUAAUAUAUUAUUAAUAUAUGUUAUAUUAUUUUUGUUCUUAAUAUUCACAGCAUGUUUUAUAAAGAAUAACAAAGUUAGCUUGAUGUGAUUGGAUGUUUAUGUAGUGUUAGUUAAAGGUCUAGUGUAAUCCAAAACCAUAAUCUUUAAUCAUGAUCUCGAGUUUAUAUUAAUCCCCUUAUCCUACGAUCAUGAGCUUCCAUUUAGAAUCAUUUUAUAAAAUUAAUCUUUAAAAGCCUUCCUGCUCUGACCAAAAAAUAUUUGCUAAAUUGAAUUUGUUUAUCUGCAUUUUAAAUGACCGUAUGGUAUUUUAAUAUUUAAGACAUGCUUUUGUCUCUUUUAUUCAUUCAUUCAUUCAUUCAUUUUAUUUAAUUCAAUUUAAUUUACUUUUUUCUCACAUAUUUCUCAUCUCAGUCUCUUAAACUCACUUUCAGAAAGGCCAGAUGGAGAUUCGCCCAACAGGAUCUGAGGUCACCAACAGUCUGCCACAAGCAAGCAAUGAUACCUAAGAAUGUAUAUUAAAGUUCAUGUACUGGUGCUACAGCUUAACACAGAUGACCCGAUUCUCAGAUCUGAUCUGCUGAUUAUUAUUGGGCGCAACUUUCCAAGAAAUGAAACAUGAAGGUCAAGAUCAAGUUAGAGAAAUUAAGCAACGCCCCUGCUGCGGAUCGGCAUGCCCCACACAGAGAGAUGGACUCCCAGUAAAAGCUAAUCCUUCACCCUCCGUGUUCUCCAGCUGCUACAAUGGCCAUUCUAGCUCAAAGGACUUGUCAACAACUGGGAAAACUGAAAGCCCUUUUGUUGUGAGUUUGUCUGCAUUAUCUAAAGUGUCCUCAAACCACUCAAUGAAGAACAGGGGUGGACUAUCUGUCAGCCCUGUGCUGUAUAAAAUGUGACUUUUAGCAUUAGUUUGAAUUGUUUGGUUCAAUAAAUGACAGCAGCACUGAUUCUCUGAAAAAUAA